GCUCAACAUUUUGGGGGGUGAAACUGUACGUUAUAUGUGCCCUUCUGUGAAAUUCAUAAGCGUAUAGCUUUUCCCCUUAAAAGUUAGAGCU
rnacentral:miRNA from 13 species